rnacentral:rRNA from 1 species
GACGAACGCUGGCGGCGUGCCUAAUACAUGCCAGUCGAACGAGAGCGCCCGGUGCUUGCACUGGUCAAUCUAGUGGCGAACGGGUGAGUAACACGUGGGUAACCUGCCCAUCAGAGGGGGAUAACAUCCGGAAACGGAUGCUAAAACCGCAUAGGUCUUCGAGCCGCAUGGCUUGAAGAGGAAAAGAGGCGCAAGCUUCUGCUGAUGGAUGGACCCGCGGCGCAUUAGCUAGUUGGUGAGGUAACGGCUCACCAAGGCCGUGAUGCAUAGCCGACCUGAGAGGGUGAUCGGCCACAUUGGGACUGAGACACGGCCCAAACUCCUACGGGAGGCAGCAGUAGGGAAUCUUCCGCAAUGGACGCAAGUCUGACGGAGCAACGCCGCGUGAGUGAAGAAGGUUUUCGGAUCGUAAAACUCUGUUGUUAGAGAAGAACAAGUGCUAGAGUAACUGUUAGCGCCUUGACGGUAUCUAACCAGAAAGCCACGGCUAACUACGUG